GGGAAACGGGAUGAGGGGCCCAGCCCCAGGGCCCCAGGCAAAAAAACACUUGGGGCA
rfam:Sarcophilus harrisii ctg7180002488712, whole genome shotgun sequence.